UGGGGAAUAUUGGACAAUGGGGGGAACCCUGAUCCAGCCAUGCCGCGUGUGUGAAGAAGGCCUUAUGGUUGUAAAGCACUUUAAGCGAGGAGGAGGGUACUGGUAUUAAUACUACCAGGUACUGGACGUUACUCGCAGAAUAAGCACCGGCUAACUCUGUGCCAGCAGCCGCGGUAAUACAGAGGGUGCGAGCGUUAAUCGGAUUUACUGGGCGUAAAGCGUGCGUAGGCGGCUAAUUGAGUCGGAUGUGAAAUCCCCGAGCUUAACUUGGGAAUUGCAUUCGAUACUGGUUAGCUAGAGUGUGGGAGAGGAUGGUAGAAUUCCAGGUGUAGCGGUGAAAUGCGUAGAGAUCUGGAGGAAUACCGAUGGCGAAGGCAGCCAUCUGGCCUAACACUGACGAUGAGGUACGAAAGCAUGGGGAGCAAACAGG
rnacentral:rRNA from 1 species